GACGAACGCUGGCGGCGUGCUUAAAACAUGCAAGUCGAACGGACUUCUCAUGAAGCUUGCGAUUGAGAAGUUAGUGGCGGACGGGUGAGUAACGCGUGGGCAACCUGCCCCUGAGCCCGGGAUAACAGUUCGAAAGGACUGCUAAGACCGGAUAUACUUGCGGUGAAGCAUUUCACUGCAAGGAAAGGGAACGCUCAGGGAUGGGCCCGCGUCCCAUUAGCUAGUUGGUGAGGUAACGGCCCACCAAGGCGACGAUGGGUAGCCGGCCUGAGAGGGUGAACGGCCACACUGGGACUGAGACACGGCCCAGACUCCUACGGGAGGCAGCAGUUGGGAAUCUUCGGCAAUGGGCGCAAGCCUGACCGAGCAACGCCGCGUGAGUGAUGAAGGUUUUCGGAUUGUAAAGCUCUGUCUUCCGGGACGAUAAUGACGGUACCGGAGGAGGAAGCCAACGGCUAACUACGUG
rnacentral:rRNA from 1 species